GAGGCCCAUCGGUGAAGGCGCUUCAGCCGGUUUCCCGCCGGCUGAUGGCCGUUCGACACCGGCCAGCCUCAC
rnacentral:tRNA from 1 species